rnacentral:rRNA from 1 species
AAGCAACAAUAAACGGAAAAAAUUGGAACGUCGCAGUCGCAGCACUCGCAGCUGUAGCUGGUGGUCGAGUGCGCACAUGUCUUCUUUUUCUAGGGAGAGUGCCCACAUGUUGUCUGGUGACAUUCCCGGAAGCACCGUGCCGGCCGAGCCCCCUCCCUAUAAAACCAUCUCCGGCGAGACGUCGUCAAGCCAUCGUUGUUCAACAAUCAACAGCCAACAGCUCCCGGAUGGCCGGAGCCACGCUUCUGCGCCACCUGGGCCCCCGCCUCUUCGCCGCCGCCGAGCCAGCCUCCGGGCUCGCCGCGAGCGCGAGGGGCAUCAUGCCCGCCGCCGCGAGGAUCUUCCCCGCGCGGAUGGCCAGCACCGAGGCCGCCGCCCCGCAUGCCAAACAAGAAGAUGAUGCCGCGAGCCCCCAGGCGGCCGCGACUCCAGAGCAGCAGAACAAGAAGCCCGUGGUGAGCUAUUGGGGCAUCGAGCCUCGGAAGCUCGUCAAGGAUGACGGCACGGAGUGGCCGUGGUUCUGCUUCAGGCCGUGGGACACGUACCGGCCGGACACGUCCAUCGACGUGACCAAGCACCACUUGCCCAAGGCCCUGGCGGACAAGGUGGCGUACUUCGUUGUCCGAUCGCUGCGCGUGCCCCGGGACCUCUUCUUCCAGCGCCGGCACGCCAGCCACGCGCUGCUGCUGGAGACGGUGGCGGCGGUGCCGCCCAUGGUGGGCGGCGUGCUACUUCACCUGCGCUCGCUCCGCCGCUUCGAGCACAGCGGCGGCUGGAUCCGGGCGCUCAUGGAGGAGGCCGAGAACGAACGCAUGCACCUCAUGACCUUCAUGGAGGUGACGCAGCCCCGGUGGUGGGAACGCGCGCUCGUGCUCGCCGCGCAGGGCGUCUUCUUCAACGCCUACUUCGUCGGCUACCUCAUCUCCCCCAAGUUCGCGCACCGCUUCGUCGGGUACCUCGAGGAGGAGGCCGUGGAGUCCUAUACUGAGUACCUCAAGGACCUCGAGGCCGGCUUGAUCGAGAACACGCCCGCCCCGGCCAUCGCCAUCGACUACUGGCGCCUCCCCGCCGACGCCAGGCUCAAGGACGUCGUCACCGCCGUGCGCGCCGACGAGGCGCAUCACCGCGACGCCAACCACUACGCAUCGGACAUCCAUUACCAGGGAAUGACGCUGAAUCAGACGCCUGCGCCGCUCGGGUACCACUGAUCAGCUCAAUGGACCAUAGAUCGAUGCCUGCUCAGUCCAUCGUUGGUGCGUACUACUACCACUGUCGCCGAUGAUUGUUGCGCGUGCAGUCUGUUCUGUGUAAACGAUGUGUGUGUAUGAUUCUUUUGUGUCACUUUGUACCCAAACAUAUGUCUACGUAAGCCGGUAUUGCUUGUAAAAAUGAUUUGAUUACUUUUCCAGAAAAACAUACUAUGUGAUAUUAUUGCUUGACAAUAAUAUUUUUUAACAGACGUGCAACAUGCAUACUUUCCUAGGCAAAAUACCACCCGGGUGAGCAAGCGCCCCUCCACCUUCCUCUAGCCGCCGCCCGCGGUACCCACCAAGGAGAGCACCAUGCCCAUGUCGGCGCAGCCACCGAGGCCAAGGCGCAUGCCUUCGAGCUCCACCUUCAUGCCAGAGCCACCUUGGAGCUCCGCCACGUGCGCCAACUCCUCUUGCCAUCUAUCGGCGAAGUUGUGGGCUCUCUCC